UUCCCCUGAAAUACACAAAAAAAUUGAAGGUUUAGAGGUGCUCCCAGUGAAAGAGUAAUAGGAUUAGCUGAAUAAUAAUUCGUGAUGAGGAUUGACUAAACAUGAAUACGUAAACAUAUGAAUGAUUUAAUGGAGGUUAAGUUGAAAAAUCAUUUGAAUUUCAAAAUCAAAACCCGCAAAAGAGAUGAGGUCAUUUAAUACUCAGACAGUCAUUAAAAUUUAUACCUAAUAGAUUUCUAGCUAUCAGUUGCUGACAAUUAAGAAAACUUAAAUCGACAAACCACUGUACAGAAACCGAACGAAAGAGAAAGAAGAUGAUGUAUUAAUGAAGAAAAAAGUUCAAAAGAAGAGGAGUAACAAAGAGGAAAAAGAAUGUCUUGGCACAUAUCUACCACAUGCAGUGUCACAUAUUCAAGACAAAUCUCUUCACAAAACGAAAUAUCUUACACUUGACUAAAAUAUUGCAAGUUCAACAAAUAGUAUUACUAAAAGUGCCAGAAUCUUGAAUCUACUUUUACAAGCACAAGAAAGUUGAAUACAACACAACAGAAUAUUACCUCCCAAGUUCUGCGUAAACAUUAUGAAAUUCAUCGAUGUCUGAUUUCCAUAUAACCUUGUCCUUAUUGAUGUCUCGAUGGGAUUUACCUUAAAAGGAAUAAAAAAGAAAACCAUUAAAGAAAGAAAGUGAUAGUUGAUGUCACUAUUAAACAUGACUUGUUAAAUAAACAAACAGGGAUGUCUAGAUGACAAAACGAAAAGAAUGUUAGAACUUUGAUUCUCCAAGUUGCAAACUACGCAAAAUCUCUAAUCUAACGAUAGAAUAUCUCAAGUAUUUCAUCGCUAAAAACUUGAAAUAAAUCUGCGCAAAGAGAAAAUUUUCAAAAUAUUUCUUUGCCUGUUCGUAUCGUCUGAAUCUAGGCAUUUCAAUUGAAGCAUAUCGUUAAAGAUGCACGACAUAAAGAGACGUAAAAGCUCUUUCAAUGUCACGUUGAAUCAAAAUGACUUUAGUCUAAAGUUGGCGAGAGGAACUUCUAGUAUAAUUAAAUGAACUGUGAAAGUUUAGAUUUGAUACACGAAGCAAGAUAUCUUUUGUUUUAAUUGCCUUUUCUUUUGUUUCUUAGUUUUUAAUUUUUAAAUUGUUAAAACUUCUUAAUGAGCAAUUUAAACGUUUUAAAA